CAGACUCCUUCAGCAGCUAAUAUUUCUGAAGUUCUUAAAACACUUCUAAGACAGUUUUUUUAUUGCUGGUAGGUGUUGGAGCUGUAUUUUCCACGUGGAAUCAUCUUUCAUUUGGUAGCACUUUUUCAACCCAGCUUGAAUGAAGGCAACAGAUAUGUAAGAGCAGUACUUGAACCCCAAUGCAGCAAUGAGGUGUUGGAUAUCCUGUCAUUUGUUCUCAGACCUACUGCUCAUACUGUGCUGUGCUGCCCAUAUGAACAGGAUCAAAUGAGGAUUCAGUCACAGGGAAUUCUUCCCCUUCUCCCCAAGCCCAAUAAGCCAGAAUCUCUACAGGAAUCAUUGAAGUGCAGCUCUUAUUUUUCCCACUAAUGGCUAUGCUGGACUAUAUCAGAAGGAGAAAAACUCCAUAAAACACCAUUCAGGAAGAAAUUUAAAAAUAGAAAUUCUAACUCCCAAAGAUUAUGACUGACAGAGAGCAGAGAUGGAUGGUGCAGGCAGAGGGGAUAGUAGCAGCCAUAACUCUAACUUUGCUGCCAUUAAUGUUUAUGUUGUGUAUGAAGUGGUUUACCAACAUCCUGAUGGACUGGCAUAAUGUGCAAGCACACGAUUUAUUUCUUCAUGCAGCAGCUAUGGGAGAACACAACCACAAAUGGAAGUUUCAGUAGAGACAGUUUCAAAUAGAGAGAUUUAUCUUGACAAGUAGAGAACUGCAAUAAAAGAUGUAUUAUUUGGUGGAAUAAUUGGUAAAUGCAUUAUCCUGUCAACAUUUAACUGUUACAAUCAACUUAAAUAAUCAAA